AAAUGGUCAUGAAAUUCACAAUUCUGGACUUUGCAUUGUGGGCUUUGGAGCAUUCUAGUGAAAGACUUGUGCUAAUCAAAUUCUUCAAGACUUCUUGCAUUUUCUUUCUUCUUGAACGUGUCAUUGGACCAGCAAUGUUGAUCAAAUUAUCAUCUUCACAAACUUGAGCUUCCUUACUAGCAACAUUUGAGCUUUUGUGCAUUUGAUCGCCAUCAACCUAUCCCAAGCUCAGAGGCAUCACAUUC
rnacentral:lncRNA from 1 species